UAACGCACGUAAAUUUUUUGAAACAUUA
rnacentral:sRNA from 1 species